rnacentral:lncRNA from 1 species
CUUUCGUGCAAAAUGCAAGUUUCUCUCUGCUUGGGUGGAAUGGACACCUGGUUGGCAUGUUUCCCCAGCAGAGUCGGGUUCUCUUCCAGACAAAUGGGGAAUGUGUUUGUAUGUGUGAACAGCCUGGUUCGGUCUCCACCUGUGAACACAGCAAUAAUCCCUAGGUGCCUCAUUUCCUCUGUAUUCAACUGGGAAACAUCUCCGGAUUUCUAAGCUUCCAGCCCCAGUCAGUAACCGCCCAGUCUUGGUGGCCAGACCUCCAGGCUGAGCCAUGUGUCCCUCAGCCUGAGCUGUGCAAAUUCUGCCCUUGCCAGGAGAGGAGCUGACAGUGCAUUCGAUUUAUUGAGUUUUAGACAUUCUUUCCGGCGUGGAUCAGAACAGAUAUUUUUGUUCUGAGCGGCAGGUCCCAGGCAAGCUGGGAACAGUGCCUAGUUACGGGGGAGCUCGGGGAAGGGGUGCACUUGGUUCUCAAGCAAUUAUCAUCCUCCAACAGCUAAACACACCCCAAAGCGAUCCAUUUUCUCACUGCAGAGCAAAGGCAUCGGAUCGGUUUUUGUGGUAACUAUGCAAUUAGCUCUCCCUGGCACUGCGGUGACUUCUUGGGGAGUGUGUUUGCUACAGAGCACAGUGACAACUGAUUGUGAUCUACGACAUAACAUUUCAGAAAGUGGACUCUGAUUUCAUAUCGUGGAGUCAAGCCUUUCAUCAGAAACAGUUUACUGGCUAAGUUAAGACAGAGGUCCAGGAGGGGCGGCCCAAGCUGGUUGUAAGGUGGGGGUCAGGAGGGGCCACUGGUCUGUCUACUGAGACAGUCUGCUGUCUCAUGAUCCAGCCUCUUAAGAGACCCCGAGAGGCUGUACCACAGAGCUCUCCUGUAAGUCCCUGUCUUUGGAUAUCCUGGCUUUGUGCAGCUAGAGGUAUUCCAAGCACUGGGUGCUUUAUACAGAGUCUGCAGGAGAAGCCACGUGCAAACCAAGGCUCAGAAUAAUCGGGAACUGGGAAAUCUCAGCCUCGAGAAGCCUGAAGUCAGGCGGGAAGAGUCCUACAGUGUCCUGUGCGUGCCAAACAAGACAUUGUCCUAGCUGGGUGUGGUGGUUCACAACUUGCUCAGCAGGUGAAAGUGGGGAAACGACAUAAAGACAUAGACAUACCUUCCCAAGCCUCCAUCAAAAAGAGCAAACAUGGUGACCGGCUGUCCUACGCAGGUGAGAGAGAAGCCGUGGGCU